UACAGGGGGGGCAAGCGUUGUUCGGAAUUACUGGGCGUAAAGGGCUCGUAGGUGGCCAACUAAGUCAGACGUGAAAUCCCUCAGCUUAACUGGGGAACUGCGUCUGAUACUGGAUGGCUUGAGUUUGGGAGAGGGAUGCGGAAUUCCAGGUGUAGCGGUGAAAUGCGUAGAUAUCUGGAGGAACACCGGUGGCGAAGGCGGGUCUCUGGGCAGUAACUGACGCUGAGGAGCGAAAGCGUGGGGAGCGAACAGG
rnacentral:rRNA from 1 species